rnacentral:rRNA from 1 species
CCUACGGGAGGCAGCAGUGGGGAAUAUUGGUCAAUGGACGAGAGUCUGAACCAGCCAAGUAGCGUGAAGGAUGACUGCCCUCUGGGUUGUAAACUUCUUUUAUAUGGGAAUAAAAUGUUCCACGUGUGAGCUUUUGUAUGUACCAUAUGAAUAAGGAUCGGCUAACUCCGUGCCAGCAGCCGCGGUAAUACGGAGGAUCCGAGCGUUAUCCGGAUUUAGUGGGUUUAAAGGGAGCGUCGGUGGGUUGUUAAGUCAGUUGUGAAAGUCUGGGGCUCAACCGUAGAAUUGCAGUCGAAACUGGCAGUCUAGAGUACAGUAGAGGUGGGCAGAAUUCGUGGUGUAGCGGUGAAAUGCGUAGAGAUCUCGAAGAACUCCGAUUGCGAAGGCAGCUCACUGGACUGAAACUGACACUGAGGUGCGAAAGUGUGGGUAUCAAACAGGAUUAGAUACCCCGGUAGUC